UGGAUCACCUCCUAACAGGGAGACAACAAAAUGUUUAAUAUUAUUAUUUUGUCACCUUAGGUCGAUCGGUAUCUCACGUUCUUAAUUUAUUAAGAAUUUCAUUUCCUAAGUUUUUCUAGGUCACACCCAUUAUUUUUCCUGGGCCAUUAGCUCAGGUGGUUAGAGCGCACCCCUGAUAAGGGUGAGGUCCCUGGUUCAAGUCCAGGAUGGCCCAUAUCUCUAUGUUGGGGGUAUAGCUCAGUUGGUAGAGCGCCUGCUUUGCAAGCAGGAUGUCAGCGGUUCGAGUCCGCUUACCUCCACUGAUUACCACCUCUUCCAUAAUCUGUAAAAAAGGAAAAUUUUUGAGUUGUGAUCAUAAUUCUGAACGAAUCUAGCUUCCUAAUGAAAAUAUUAAGAUGCUGGACUCAUUGAUUAAUUUCAUUGUUUUCAGAGAACCUUGACAACUGCAUAGAUUAUUUUUAAAAGACAAUAAGCAUCUUUAAUGAUGCAGAUUUAUUAUUUGUGCGAAUGCAUUAAUAACAAUUCUAUUAAGCUGAUGCUUCAAUUUUGAAGUUAUUGGUCAAGCUACAAAGGGCUCACGGAGGAUACCUAGGCACACAGAGGCGAUGAAGG
rnacentral:tRNA from 1 species